rnacentral:lncRNA from 1 species
AGAUGACCCAGGCAGUCUUCCAGCUACGCCUUGGAGAACCUAGGAUCACAGUUCACCUACACCAUCCUCCUGACCAGUCUAUGAAUUUCAAACUGAUGAUUCCAGUCAAGGAAGAAAGCCAUCUGUUUGUUUCCUAAAGAACUAUUAGGCAAGAAAGAGUAUGAAACAUGAAGCCCAACAAGAGCAUGCAUGGGUCACAGUGCAACUGGCCAUAGAUCUUUAUUGAACAUGGUAAAAUGUGUUUUUAAAAAUAUUCUCUCUUAAUUCCUGCAUUUGUGAGCACUGCUUAUCUUUUUAGCUUUCUUAUAUGACUACACUUUGUCCCUACCUACUGCGCCUGUGAAUCAGAAUCCAGUGGGAGAAAUAAAG